GCCAGGUGUGGUGGUGCACGCCUGUAGUCCCAGCUACUUGGGAGGCUGAGGCAGGAGAACAGCUUGAACCCAGGAGGUGGAGGUUGCAGUGAGCCAAGAUUACACCACUGCACUCCAGCCUGGGUGACAAAGCGGGACUCUGUCUCAA
ensembl:misc_RNA Metazoa_SRP Metazoan signal recognition particle RNA